rnacentral:lncRNA from 1 species
CCAUCACCUCUCCGGAGCAGUAAAUAGCACGGCUGGGUGCACGAGGUACUCCUCGGAGGGGGGGAAAGUUGUGCCUACAGCCUUCAGCAUCCCCUUCCCAGCUCACGUCGCUCCCUCCUGCUGAUCGGAAGCUUUGGGUGAGACCCCAAGCAGAGCCUGAGCCCCUUCCCACCAGCUGUCCCCAUCUCCAGCUGAGGAGGGGCGAGGUUUGGGGCAGGAUGGCAGCGCCGCGCUGCUCUGCAGCUCAGCAAAGGUCGGGGUUCAGAGCAGCCAGGAGAGCUGUGCUCAGCGGGGACGCCUGACCUCGGACCUUUCAGUUUGAGCUGAGGAAAGGAAGAAGGUAAGAGAAGGCACCCGACCGAGCAGCACGGUGCAGCCUCCCUGGGGAAGGCAGCUGGGCAUUAGUGGCCUGCUGCUGCUCCUGCCUGGGCCAGGGCUGGGAGGUGGCUCGGGAGCCCUUCCUUCAAAGAGGAGAACAAUUAACAAGAAAUAAAAUAUCAGCAAGCCUUGAAAAUCACCUGGAAGAUAAUAAAGAGAAAACAAAUCUCUCUUUUUUUCGAGAGAGAGCUCUUCUCGGCUCAGCAGAUUUAUUGCUGCCUUUUUAAAUUUUAACAACUUGCGAGGCCAAUGCACUGACUUCCAUUACAUUAAAACUUUUGCUUUUUAUUCCCUAAUUUGAAGCAGAAGGGAAGCUAAAUCACCAGGCAGUGAAAGGUCUGCGGUCGACAGGCGCUGCUGUGCGAGGAGAUGGAUGUCUCUGGCAAGGUGUCCUGUCUGCGAGGUGGCACGGGGGUGCAAGGCGAACGCGCGCAGGACGUGGACGCGGACGAGCCUGUGACUCACUGACGGAGACUGGGGAACAGAAGGUGCUGAGCAGCCUUGUCAUUCCAGAUGCAUCAUCCCUCCUCCAAACAAGGCAGGAGCGCGUGCUAAUAAUCCGGGAUCUCGUAAUUAAAUGCCCUGCAGCCUGAAUAUGUAUAAGAAGGCACAGUUACUGUGCCGAGGACUAUCUCACUUGUGACAUUUCUGUGGGUUGGAGUUGCUUUGCUUUGCAACUUCAGCGCUCACGUAGGGCUGGCUGUAUGCGGCUCGCUAUCAAUCACGGGUGUGAAAAGUCCCCCAAGCCACCAGAAAAUGGAAACAAUCUUGAAUGCUCCUGAAGUGAAAGCAGAGAGCCAUUCCCAAGAUGUUCCUUCA